rnacentral:rRNA from 1 species
UACAGAGGGCUCAAGCGUUGUUCGGAUUCAUUGGGCGUAAAGGGUGUGUAGGUGGCGCCGUAAGUCGGGUGUGAAAUUUCGGAGCUUAACUCCGAAACUGCAUUCGAUACUGCGGUGCUUGAGGACUGGAGAGGAGACUGGAAUUCACGGUGUAGCAGUGAAAUGCGUAGAUAUCGUGAGGAAGACCAGUGGCGAAGGCGGGUCUCUGGACAGUUCCUGACACUGAGGCACGAAGGCCAGGGGAGCAAACGGG